AUUGAACGCUGGCGGCAUGCCUUACACAUGCAAGUCGAACGGCAGCGCGGGGCAACCUGGCGGCGAGUGGCGAACGGGUGAGUAAUAUAUCGGAACAUACCCUAGAGUGGGGGAUAACGUAGCGAAAGUUACGCUAAUACCGCAUACGCACUAAGGUGGAAAGUGGGGGAUCUUCGGACCUCAUGCUCAUGGAGUGGCCGAUAUCUGAUUAGCUAGUUGGUGAGGUAAAGGCUCACCAAGGCGACGAUCAGUAGCUGGUUUGAGAGGACGACCAGCCACACUGGAACUGAGACACGGUCCAGACUCCUACGGGAGGCAGCAGUGGGGAAUUUUGGACAAUGGGGCGACCAGACUC
rnacentral:rRNA from 1 species